rnacentral:precursor_RNA from 15 species
AAGCCGCUAUUAACGUGGUGACGCAAGAGUAGGGGUUUCUUUCGGCCUCCAGCGGAUAAUAAAGAGUUGUAGGCCGGCGGAAACUACUUGCUUUUACGUUGCAUUACCUUCGCUGCGGCUU